rnacentral:rRNA from 1 species
CCUACGGGAGGCAGCCGUGAGGAAUUUUGGUCAAUGGGCGGAAGCCUGAACCAGCCAAGUAGCGUGCAGGAUUACGGCCCUACGGGUUGUACACUGCUUUUAUACGGGAAUAACGCGCCUUACGUGUAGGGCUUUGCAUGUACCGUAUGAAUAAGUACCGGCUCAUUCCGUGCCAGCCGCCGCGGUACUACGGAAGGUCCGGGCGUUAUCCGGAUUUAGUGGGUUUAAAGGGAGCGUAGGCCGGAUGUCAAGCGUGCUGUGAAAUGUCCGGGCUCAACCCGGGCCUUGCAGCGCGAACUGGCGUGCUUGAGUCCGCGGAAAGCAGGCGGAAUUCGUCGUGUAGCGGUGAAAUGCUUAGAUAUGACGAAGAACCCCGAUUGCGAAGGCAGCUUGCUGCAGCGGAACUGACGCUGAUGCUCGAAAGCGCGGGUAUCGAACAGGAUUAGAUACCCUGGUAGUC